ACUCCUACGGGAGGCAGCAGUGGGGAAUUUUGGACAAUGGGCGAAAGCCUGAUCCAGCAAUGCCGCGUGAGUGAAGAAGGCCUUCGGGUUGUAAAGCUCUUUUGUCAGGGAAGAAACGGUGAAAGCUAAUAUCUUUUGCUAAUGACGGUACCUGAAGAAUAAGCACCGGCUAACUACGUGCCAGCAGCCGCGGUAAUACGUAGGGUGCAAGCGUUAAUCGGAAUUACUGGGCGUAAAGCGUGCGCAGGCGGUUUUGUAAGUCUGAUGUGAAAUCCCCGGGCUCAACCUGGGAAUUGCAUUGGAGACUGCAAGGCUAGAAUCUGGCAGAGGGGGGUAGAAUUCCACGUGUAGCAGUGAAAUGCGUAGAUAUGUGGAGGAACACCGAUGGCGAAGGCAGCCCCCUGGGUCAAGAUUGACGCUCAUGCACGAAAGCGUGGGGAGCAAACAGGAUUAGAUACCCGAGUAGUCCCAUG
rnacentral:rRNA from 1 species